UUCAACGGGAGGGGAGCUGUACAUAGUGAAUGAGAAGAAUGAUUCUGAAUCAAGGGGUUCAAAGUCUAUAUCCAUAUUGGACGGUCUAAUUUCUGGUAACACGGAGAAAAUUCCUCCAUCACCAGUUAUCAAGCAACUGGCUGUGGCUGUAGAGAAUGGGAAGAAAUUUAGCUCAAUGAAAGAUUUUCUGGCAACAAACAAAGGUUCUUCUCCUAUCAAGGAAAGGGCAGGACUAAGUCUCUUUGCUGUGAGGUCGCUUGUGCUUUGUGAAAAGGAAGAUAACAUAUCCGAGUUUCCAGAUGAAGUGAAGCUCUAUUCUUUGAUUAGUUUGCUGUUUGAUGCAGGACUAAGUCUCUUUGUUGUAAUAUCUGCAAGAUAUUUGCAGGGGGAAAGUUUCUC